CUGUCCCUGGGAGGGGCCGGGGGCUCUGGGCAGCUCCAGCCUCUCCCCAGCUUGGAUUCAGCUCCGAGGAGCUGCCC